GUGGCGGCGUGCUUAACACAUGCAAGUCGAACGAAGCAUCUCGCCCGAAGAAAUGGAGUGCUUGCACAAAGUGGAUCAAUUGAGAUGACUGAGUGGCGGACGGGUGAGUAACGCGUGGGUAACCUGCCCUAUACAGGGGGAUAGCAGUUGGAAACGACUGAUAAUACCGCAUAAGCGCACAGUACCGCAUGGUACAGUGUAGAAAAACUCCGGUGGUAUAGGAUGGACCCGCGUCUGAUUAGCUAGUUGGUGAGGUAACGGCUCACCAAGGCGACGAUCAGUAGCCGACCUGAGAGGGUGACCGGCCACAUUGGGACUGAGACACGGCCCAAACUCCUACGGGAGGCAGCAGUGGGGAAUAUUGCACAAUGGGCGAAAGCCUGAUGCAGCGACGCCCGCGUGAGUGAUGAAGUAUUUCGGUAUGUAAAGCUCUAUCAGCAGGGAAGAUAAUGACGGUACCUGACUAAGAAGCACCGGCUAAAUACGUGCCAGCCGCAGC
rnacentral:rRNA from 1 species